AGGAGUGUAGCUCAACUGGUUAGAGCGCCGGUCUCCAAAACCGGAGGUUGCGGGUUCGAGUCCCUCCACUCCUGCCA
rnacentral:tRNA from 1 species